AUGAACGCUGGCGGCGUGCCUUAUGCAUGCAAGUCGAACGAUCCCAGCAAGGGGGCAGUGGCGGACGGGUGAGUACAAGCAAGGAACGUACCUCAAACUUCAGUAUAGCUCGUCGAAAGACGGGGUAAUGCGGAAUGUGGACGCAAGUCUAAAGGGCAUAACAACCCGGUUUGAGAGCGGCCUUGUGACUAUCAGCUUGUUGGCAGGGUAAAGGCCUACCAAGGCUAUGACGGUUAGGGGGCGUGAGAGCGCGACCCCCCACAAUGGCACUGAGACACGGGCCAUACAACUACGGUUGGCAGCAACAGGGAAUCGUUGGCAAUGGACGAAAGUCUGACCACGCGACGCCGCGUGAGGGAUGAAGGCUCUCGGGUCGUAAACCUCUUUUAUCCCGAUGUCGAAUCGGGGAGAAUAAGCACCUACAAACUACGU
rnacentral:rRNA from 1 species